rnacentral:rRNA from 1 species
UACGUAGGGGGCAAGCGUUGUCCGGAUUUAUUGGACGUAAAGAGCGUGUAGGCGGCCAGGUAGGUCCGUUGUGAAAACUCGAGGCUCAACCUCGAGACGCCGAUGGAAACCAUCUGGCUAGAGUCCGGAAGAGGAGGGUGGAAUUCCCGGUGUAGCGGUGAAAUGCGCAGAUAUCGGGAAGAACACCCGUGGCGAAGGCGGCUCUCUGGGACGGUACUGACGCUGAGACGCGAAAGCGUGGGGAGCGAACAGG